UACAGAGGUCUCAAGCGUUGUUCGGAUUCAUUGGGCGUAAAGGGUGCGUAGGCGGCGCGGUAAGUCGGGCGUGAAAUCUCGGAGCUUAACUCCGAAACUGCAUUCGAUACUGCUGUGCUUGAGGACUGGAGAGGAGACUGGAAUUUACGGUGUAGCGGUGAAAUGCGUAGAUAUCGUAAGGAAGACCAGUGGCGAAGGCGGGUCUCUGGACAGUUCCUGACGCUGAGGCACGAAGGUCAGGGGAGCAAACGGG
rnacentral:rRNA from 1 species